GACGGAGGAUGCAAGCGUUAUCCGGAAUGAUUGGGCGUAAAGCGUCCGCAGGUGGCAGUUCAAGUCUGCUGUCAAAGACCGGGGCUUAACUUCGGAAAGGCAGUGGAAACUGAACAGCUAGAGUAUGGUAGGGGCAGAGGGAAUUCCUGGUGUAGCGGUGAAAUGCGUAGAUAUGUGGAGGAAUACCGAUGGCGAAGGCAGCCCCCUGGGAUAACACUGACGCUCAUGCACGAAAGCGUGGGGAGCAAACAGG
rnacentral:rRNA from 1 species